rnacentral:rRNA from 1 species
AUUGAACGCUGGCGGCAGGCCUAACACAUGCAAGUCGAGCGGAUGAAGGGAGCUUGCUCCUGGAUUCAGCGGCGGACGGGUGAGUAAUGCCUAGGAAUCUGCCUGGUAGUGGGGGAUAACGUCCGGAAACGGGCGCUAAUACCGCAUACGUCCUGAGGGAGAAAGUGGGGGAUCUUCGGACCUCACGCUAUCAGAUGAGCCUAGGUCGGAUUAGCUAGUUGGUGGGGUAAAGGCCUACCAAGGCGACGAUCCGUAACUGGUCUGAGAGGAUGAUCAGUCACACUAGAGCUGAGACACGGUCAAGACUCCUACGGGAGGCAGCAGUGGGGAAUAUUAGACAAUGGGCGAAAGCCUGAUCCAGCCAUGCCGCGUGUGUGAAGAAGGUCUUCGGAUUGUAAAGCACUUUAAGUUGGGAGGAAGGGCAGUAAGUUAAUACCUUGCUGUUUUGACGUUACCAACAGAAGAAGCACCGGCUAACUUCGUG